GACGAACGCUGGCGGCGUGCUUAACACAUGCAAGUCGAACGCUGAAGGCCCAGCUUGCUGGGUUGGAUGAGUGGCGAACGGGUGAGUAACACGUGAGUAACCUGCCCCCUUCCUUGGGAUAACGGUCGGAAACGGCUGCUAAUACCGGGUAUUCACUGUCCUUCGCAUGGGGGGUGGUGGAAAGGUUUUUUCUGGUGGGGGAUGGGCUCGCGGCCUAUCAGCUUGUUGGUGGGGUGAUGGCUUACCAAGGCUUUGACGGGUAACCGGCCUGAGAGGGUGACCGGUCACAUUGGGACUGAGAUACGGCCCAGACUCCUACGGGAGGCAGCAGUGGGGAAUAUUGCACAAUGGGCGAAAGCCUGAUGCAGCGACGCCGCGUGAGGGAUGGAGGCCUUCGGGUUGUAAACCUCUUUCGCUCAUGGUCAAGCCGCAACUUGGGUUGUGGUGAGGGUAGUGGGUAAAGAAGCACCGGCUAACUACGUGCCAGCAGCCGCGGUAAUACGUAGGGUGCGAGCGUUGUCCGGAAUUAUUGGGCGUAAAGGGCUUGUAGGCGGUUUGUCGCGUCUGCCGUGAAAUCCUCUGGCUUAACUGGGGGCGUGCGGUGGGUACGGGCAGGCUUGAGUGCGGUAGGGGAGACUGGAACUCCUGGUGUAGCGGUGGAAUGCGCAGAUAUCAGGAAGAACACCGGUGGCGAAGGCGGGUCUCUGGGCCGUUACUGACGCUGAGGAGCGAAAGCGUGGGGAGCGAACAGG
rnacentral:rRNA from 1 species